rnacentral:rRNA from 1 species
AAGCGACGCCGCGUGUGGGAAGAAGGCCUUCGGGUUGUAAACCACUGUCGGGAGUUAGGAAAUGCAGGUGCGUUAAUAGCGCACUUGCUUGACUAAGGCUCCAGAGGAAGCCACGGCUUACUCUGUGCCAGCAGCCGCGGUAAUACAGAGGCGGCAAGGCUUGUUCGGAAUUAUUGGGCGUAAAGAGCACGUAGGCGGCCUUGCAAGUCAGUUGUGAAAGCCUUCCGCUUAACGGAAGAACGGCAUCUGAUACUACAGGGCUUGAGUAGGGAGGGGAGAGUGGAACUUCUGGUGGAGCGGUGAAAUGCGUAGAUAUCAGAAGGAACGCCGGCGGCGAAAGCGACUCUCUGGUCCGAAACUGACGCUGAGUGUGCGAAAGCUAGGGGAGCAAACGGGAUUAGAUACCCCGGUAGUCCUAGCCGUAAACGAUGGGCACUAAGUAGAGGGGUUUU